rnacentral:rRNA from 1 species
CCAGACUCCUACGGGAGGCAGCAGUGGGGGAUAUUGCACAAUGGGGGGAGCCCUGAUGCAGCGACGCCGCGUGGGUGAAGAAGCGCCUCGGCGCGUAAAGCCCUGUCAGCAGGGAAGAAAAUGACGGUACCUGAAGAAGAAGCCCCGGCUAACUACGUGCCAGCAGCCGCGGUAAUACGUAGGGGGCGAGCGUUAUCCGGAUUCACUGGGUGUAAAGGGAGCGUAGACGGCCAAGCAAGCCAGGGGUGAAAGCCCGGGGCCCAACCCCGGGACUGCCCUUGGAACUGCUUGGCUGGAGUGUCGGAGAGGCAGGCGGAAUUCCUAGUGUAGCGGUGAAAUGCGUAGAUAUUAGGAGGAACACCAGUGGCGAAGGCGGCCUGCUGGACGAUGACUGACGCUGAGGCUCGAAAGCGUGGGGAGCAAACAGGAUUAGAUACCCUAGUAC